rnacentral:rRNA from 1 species
AGGGCACCACCAGGAGUGGAGCCUGCGGCUUAAUUUGACUCAACACGGGAAAACUCACCCGGCCCGGACACUGGAAGGAUUGACAGAUUGAGAGCUCUUUCUUGAUUCAGUGGGUGGUGGUGCAUGGCCGUUCUUAGUUGGUGGAGUGAUUUGUCUGGUUAAUUCCGAUAACGAAUGAGACUCUAGCCUACUAAAUAGAUCGUCGGCUUACAAACGCCGGCGAGACUUCUUAGAGGGACAGGCGGUGAUUCAACCGCACGAAACAGAGCAAUAACAGGUCUGUGAUGCCCUUAGAUGUCCGGGGCCGCACGCGCGCUACACUGAAGUGAUCAGCGUGCUUUUUCAACCUACUCUGUCAAGAGUGGGGAACCCAAUGGACCUUCUUCGUGAUUGGGAUAGGGGAUUGUAAUUAUUCCCCUUGAACGAGGAAUUCCCAGUAAGCGCGAGUCAUAAGCUCGCGUUGAUUACGUCCCUGCCCUUUGUACACACCGCCCGUCGCUACUACCGAUUGAAUGUUUU